rnacentral:rRNA from 1 species
GACGAACGCUGGCGGCGUGCUUAACACAUGCAAGUCGAACGGAAAGGCCCUGCUUGCGGGGUCCUCGAGUGGCGAACGGGUGAGUAACACGUGGGUGAUCUGCCCUGCACUUCGGGAUAAGCUUGGGAAACUGGGUCUAAUACCGGAUAGGAGCCAUCUUUAGUGUGGUGGUUGGAAAGUUUUUUCGGUGUAGGAUGAGCUCGCGGCCUAUCAGCUUGUUGGUGGGGUAAUGGCCUACCAAGGCGGCGACGGGUAGCCGGCCUGAGAGGGUGUACGGCCACAUUGGGACUGAGAUACGGCCCAGACUCCUACGGGAGGCAGCAGUGGGGAAUAUUGCACAAUGGGCGCAAGCCUGAUGCAGCGACGCCGCGUGGGGGAUGAAGGCCUUCGGGUUGUAAACUCCUUUCGCUAGGGACGAAGCUUUUUUGUGACGGUACCUAGAUAAGAAGCACCGGCUAACUACGUG